rnacentral:misc_RNA from 1 species
UUUUCCAACAACUUAUUUUUCUCACAGUCUUCUGUUCUCAGUGCCUCUAUCUCAAGUUUCAGGUUUUCCAUCAACUUAUUCUUCUCAUUAUCUACUUCUCUCAGUGCUGCUAUCUCAUGGUUCAGAUCUUCCACCAGUUUAUUCUUCUCGCUAGAAUCACUUUGAUUCCUAGAUUCAAGCAAAGAUUUCAAUCUCACUAACUCGGCGGAGAGAAUUUCCACCUUCUCUGCCUGAAUUUCAGCAAUCUUUGUGGCAUCAUCAGCGUGGCUGAGUGCCUGAUUUUUGGCAUCAGAAGUCAUGGAUAAUUCUUGCUUUAUCCGUUGAAGUUCCUCUGUGGCGGUUAGGAGAGCAGCAACAUCCAAAGCAUGUUGGUUCUUCACAUCUUCGAGCUCCUUUUUCCAUUCCUCUUCUUUCUUCUGAGAUGCCUCAAUCCCUGCUUGUUCCAUCUCAACAGCUCGGAACUUUUCAAUUUCAGAGUUCUCUUCAGCUCGCUUUUGGGCCACCGUAGCUUCUCUCAGCUUCUCAUUGGCUUCUUCAGCCAUUCUCUGAGAUUCCUUCACUUCUUCAAGUGCUUUCUCCUUCUCCUUCUCAGCUAAAGCUAAUUUCUCCUUUGCCUUCUUAAGAUCUUCAUGAACAACAUUCAAUUCAGCUUGCAGCUCUGAUGGCUUCAGGAUCCGCAUUGGCUUUUUAUCAGGUGGAGUACUGAUCUUAGGAGACCGCCGUUCCACAGAAGGCUUGGAAGUAACAGAUCUUGGAGAUUUCUCAACUGGAAGGCGUGAAUUCUGCAAUGGCGAGGUCGAAUCAGCAUCAGACUUUGACAGUCCCCUGCUCAAUUUGCUCACCCGGUCUCGAGGAGUUGCUGGUGUUGACUUAUUAGGAGUAUCCCCCAGAGUGGAUUUUGAUUUGGUAGCCAUGGUGUCGGUGGGAAGCAGAUUCUUGCAGCAAACAAGCAACAAGUUCCAAUUUCACAACUUAAGUAAACAAGAAUGAUGCUUUAUCAAGAAAUGAGGAUGUUUUGCUGCUAUACUGCUGACAUA